CCCAGGAGCAGGUCCUCGAUGGCUGGCGGGCUCAGGGUCAGGCGGGGCUGGCAGUUCGAGCAUGUGGUGAAAUUCGGGCAGAGUCUU